GACGAGCGCUGGCGGCGUGCUUAACACAUGCAAGUCGAACGAUGAACCCGGAGCUUGCUCCGGCGGAUUAGUGGCGAACGGGUGAGUAACACGUGAGUAACCUGCCCUUGACUCUGGGAUAACUGCGGGAAACUGUAGCUAAUACCGGAUACGACCCUCGGCGGCAUCGCCAGGGGGUGGAAAGAAUUUCGGUCAAGGAUGGACUCGCGGCCUAUCAGCUAGUUGGUGAGGUAACGGCUCACCAAGGCGACGACGGGUAGCCGGCCUGAGAGGGGGACCGGCCACACUGGGACUGGGAUACGGCCCAGACUCCUACGGGAGGCAGCAGUGGGGAAUAUUGCACAAUGGGCGCAAGCCUGAUGCAGCGACGCCGCGUGAGGGAUGACGGCCUUCGGGUUGUAAAGCUCUUUCGUCCGGGACGAUAAUGACGGUACCGGAAGAAGAAGCCCCGGCUAACUUCGUGCCAGCCGCCGCGGUAA
rnacentral:rRNA from 1 species